GUCCGACGUUAUUGUCUUUUCCACUUGACCGGACAAGCUUAUCGGUUCAAGGACAGAGGAGAUUAAAAGGUUUAUAUCUAAAUUCCACCGAAGACACGGUAUCUUAUUGUCAAUAACAUGUGUUUGUAUAUCAGUGAUAUAUAAGAACCCAAGCGAUCGGUGCUGAGUAUCAGAUGAACUGCAGAGUUUAAGCGCAGAGCAAUGAAAAUGGAAUACCAACUUUUGUUGACUGUUUCUUUAACUGUGAUGUGCUUUGGGUUCUCCAUGUCACAAACUGUGGUAAAACAGGCCGAUCCUAAUGACUGCCAUCGAUUCUAUGAGAUUCGCUUGCUGAGCUGUCCUCCGCAAUUUAUUUGGAACUCAAACUUCGAGCGAUGCGAAAUGCAGGCGCUUGGUGGAUGUUCCUUCACUUCUUCAGCACCAAAUGGGAGUAAACGCUUUCAAAACGACUCAAUUCUAAGUCCGGAAAUCACAAAAUCACAAAAUCUUUUGGAGGUAUGUGACAACAAACUCGGACAGCGGAUAGUUUACCCAGGUGACUGCACCCGAUUCAUUCUGUGCGAUUAUCUGCCCUUUGUGAUGACCUGUCCGCAAUAUCUCUUUUGGAACUCCCAUCUACUCACUUGUGACAAAAUUUGUGUUUAGAUUUUCAAAAAUACGUUUGUGUGGAAUAAAGAAUUAAAUCAAAUGACUCUA